rnacentral:rRNA from 1 species
GAUGAACGCUGACGGCGUGCCUAAUACAUGCAAGUCGAGCGAACGGACGAGAAGCUUGCUUCUCUGAUGUUAGCGGCGGACGGGUGAGUAACACGUGGAUAACCUACCUAUAAGACUGGGAUAACUUCGGGAAACCGGAGCUAAUACCGGAUGAUAUUUUGAACCGCAUGGUUCAAAAGUGAAAGACGGUCUUGCUGUCACUUAUAGAUGGAUCCGCGCUGCAUUAGCUAGUUGGUAAGGUAACGGCUUACCAAGGCAACGAUGCAUAGCCGACCUGAGAGGGUGAUCGGCCACACUGGAACUGAGACACGGUCCAGACUCCUACGGGAGGCAGCAGUAGGGAAUCUUCCGCAAUGGGCGAAAGCCUGACGGAGCAACGCCGCGCGAGUGAUGAAGGUCUUCGGAUCGUAAAACUCUGUUAUUAGGGAAGAACAUAUGUGUAAGUAACUGUGCACAUCUUGACGGUACCUAAUCAGAAAGCCACGGCUAACUACGUG